CUUUGAUGAGGACCUUCUCUGGCCUUUUUCUAUGUCUGUUUUGGUGGUUCUGAAAUGAAGUCAUCUCCUUUUCUUUCAUCCGAUCCUUCACAUUUUUUUUUAAUUUCUGAGAUUUACAUGUAUUUUUUUGUCUGUUUUUGGAUUUUUGUGCACACUUUCCUUAAUGACGUGGGAGCAACAAAAUAAUAUUUCUUCUCGAGCUUUUCCAGACCUAAUGAUUAAUGUACAAUUUCCUGUGGUUGACACUGUUGUUCAUGCAUUAAUCUGUGGAAAAAAGACAUUUUUCCUCCCAUCAAAGGCUGGCUGGCAGGCAGAUAGUUGAAUCGCCAAGAAAUCUUUGUUCAACAAGCUAUCAUCCAUGGAAGACUUUUGGGUCAUCAGACCUGUGAAGUCGAACCAGCAAUUUUUUCCCAUUAAAUCUGGGCAACUGAGAUAGAAUCUAUCUCAUGAGCCACUUGAUGCCUUGUAUUGUAGAAGGGGAUUCACAGCCUUCCCCAUUGACAUGGCAAGAAAAGAUCUGGCUUCAUGGGCACUCCCCGCCACUCUUUCUCCUGUUCUUUUGUUCUUCUCCUCUUAUCCUCAAUGCUUCUUAGAUAAAUUCUCCACCAGAGGUUGAAGAUCUUGAAGGCACAUGGUCUCUUGCAGGGUGCAACUGGAUUGCUCUGUGGAGGAGGGCCCAAGGAUGUCACUUUAUGAAGUCCUGCUUACCACACAAUCUCAUCUGUUUGGAAACACCAUCUGAACCUGCCUGGUACCAUCAAAGAAGAGCACUGAUCCCAUAAAUGACAAAUGUCAAAUGGCAUGUUACAUACUGAAAUUGGUGGAUGACAACAAAUUGAAUUUUGUGCUUGGUUAUGCAACAAGAACAUUAUAUUUUGUUAAGAACUGCUUGAACUUUGUACAAGUUUGCUGAUGUUACUUUCUGCCAUAUCUUUUGCAGGAAGCCAACAAGGUGACUGACUGGUGUCUGGUAGUAAAUUUACUAUACCUCGAAGGAUAAAACGGAUAACGGUGUUGGAAGUAAAACUAGAAAGAAUCUGAAAAUGAAUGGUGAGAAGAGGGGCAAGGGUUGGAUUGGGAAUGAUGUAGCGUUUCCUUCAAAUUUGAGCUCUGAUGGGGCCCUGGCAGUUGCCUUCUUCUGGCUUUAACAUGGAUGUGUAAAGCUAAGGCCUUAAAUCCUUUAGAGUUGGCAUGUGGGGAGCCACAUGUUUCAGCUGUUCUCUAGCUUUUACUACUGGAAUUUCUCCCUGUCCAUUUGAGCUUCUGCGUGAAUUGGUGUUAGCUUUUAAGAGGAGGUUUAAAGGGAAUGGGUGACAAGGCAGACACAGUGAAAUCUUAUCUUUCACCAUCUUGACAAGGCUAGUGAUAACAAGAACUUGGUAUACCAUUUUCUGGGGAGAAAUAGGAAAUGGGAAAUGAGAUUACUAUUUACAAUCCCUAUUUUACUAUUUAUAACCUCAUUUUAAAUUUUUUUAAUAUGUAUAAACUACUCAUUUGUAAAUGUACGUAAAUACUCUCUUCUUCCUCCUCUUCAUCAUCUUCUUCUUCUCCUUCUCUUCUUCUUCCUCCUCUUUUUCUUCCUCCUUUGAGGAUGGUGUCGAGGGGAUGGUGAGCUGAGUUGGACGAUGUCGAGCGGCAUCAAUAGUGAGCAGUGACGACAACAGAGAGCAGCAUUGGCGGCAACCUCGACUAAUAAGGGGUUAUGGGGAAGAAAAAGGGGUAAAAUUAGUAAUAUUGGGGUUGUAAAUAAUCAAAUAAUAUUUUUAUUAUUUUUUAAGGAAUUUUCAAUAACAAGAGGUUGUCAAUAAUAAAAAAUAAGCUAUGAAUAGCAAGCUUCAAUAGGAAAUGAUUGAAAGAAGAGAGUGAAAUCUCUUUCCUUAUAUUUAUUUGACUAUUUAAGCUCAGGUGGAUGAGAACAGUCUAAAUUUCAUGGGCAUUUUACUAGAAAAAAUCUCCACUAUUGGUUUUUUAUCGGAUGACACCCCUCAUAUUCAUUUUUAAUUGGGGAUUUUUUUUUCUAUUUAGAUGAAAAUAACCUUGUUCUUUUACUAAAAUGACUUGAUCACAUAUGUUAUUAAAAAAGAUCGAUAAUUAAUCAUCAUAAAAAUUUCAAAAAAUAAAUUAGGUGAUACUAAUCAUUUCAGAAUUAAUAGGAUAAAUUCUAAAAUGAUUAGUAUUAUUUUUUGUUUUAAAAUUUUUUAUGAUAAUUAAUUAUUAAAAUUAGAGUUUUUUUGAAUAACAUAUAUGAUCAAGUCAUUUAAGUAAAAGUAUGAGAGAAAUUUCAUCCAAGUGGAAAAAAAAAGCACACCUAGGUAAAACCGAAUAUGGGGUGUCAUCAAUAAAAAGUCAAUAUUAGGUGUUUUUUUGGGUAAAAUGCCCAAAUUUCUUUCAAAAAGUUCAUCAAAAUUUUUUCUUUCAAUAUUUUUGUCCCAAUAAUUCUGCAUUAACCUCUAAGGGUACAUAUUUUUGCAUAGUAAUGUGUGUGUAUAUAUAUAUAUCAAUUUUCCUAAAAAACCUCAUUUUUCAUUUUUUUCUUAGAUAGUGCCCUAUAUUUUUUGUAAUCUUGUAAAUAUCCUUGCCCUUCCCCACCUGUUGCCUCCAUUGCCUACUCCCAUUGCUAGGCUCCACUGCCUCCGUUCUUAACACCGCCCGCCCUUCCCCACGAGCAGAGGCAUUGAGUGGGGAAGGGCGGGUGGCAUCGCACAGAGACAGCGAGAUCUCAUGGUGGGACUAGGGGACAAAGACAAUGAACGGGGAAAGGCGGGCAAUGCCCCAUCACCUUGUGGUGAGGCGAAGGCGAUGGAGGCAACGGGCGAGGAAGGACAAAGAAAAUUAUGAGAUUAUAGAAAAUAGGGGCACUAUAUGAGAAAAAUGAAAAUAAAGGCAUCUUGUAGAAAAAAACGAAAAAGGGAUUAUAUAUAUAUAUACAAAUAUAUAUAUAUAUACACGAAUAUAUAUAUAUAUAUAUAUAUAUAUAUAUAUAUAUAUAUAUAUAUACAUAUAUAUACAUAUAUAUAUAUACACACACAUUAAUAGCCGUACAUUACAAACUUUUAACAGAAAUAUACCUCCAUUUAGUUUUGGAAAUCACAAUAUUAAAAGUGUUGGUCAACAAAUUACAUUAUCAUUUUAACCAGUUGCACAAGUACUCAUACAUUUAUGUUUUGACUUCUUAAUAUCAAUCCUUAGUUUGUAGCAUAUUUUUGCAAAGAAAUCCAAUUUUACAGGACAUUAUUAAUAACAUAUUGUGGGCAUUUGGCUUAUUUGUGGCCUUCAAUUAAGUCCCACUGAAAUAGAUUGUUGUUUGGUGCCUUCAGAUGACUUUUUAUUUUCUGUAGGGAAUCUCAAACUGGGUGGGAUACUGAAGAAGUUAUAAAUUCCCAGGAACGUUACUGUAACUUGUCAUAUUCGGAGCAGAAAAAGAGGAACAAAAUAUUCGUUGAUAAUUUUCAAAAGAGAAAUUUUUAAUAUGCAGAAUUUACAUGAUAGUUUAUAAUGUUUACAUUUUUAUUAUUUUUUUCUACUAAACUUUUCCUUUACAGAGGCUAGAAGGGAUGAACCCAUUGGAUGAGACUUAGUGGACUGGAUGGUAUCAAUGUACUCAGCCUAAUAAAAAUCCCUGAUACAUAACCAGUCCAUGAUCUGCUGGUUCUGUAUCAGCAGCAAUUUGGUCCUUGAACCACAACUUUCGUUUAGAAUUAUAUGGAAGCUGUAGUUGUUUCUUUUUCAUCCGAGUCUUAAAAUGGUUAUUCUUUUAUGCAUAUCUUCCUUGAUUGGAGUUAUAUGCUUUAUCCUAUUCAAAGAAAACAAUUCUUUCAUGGAUUAUGUGUCAUAUUUCUUACCAAUGUGGAAUUCCUUUUUCUCGAUGGUUGUAGGUUUGUGAUUGCAUCUACAUAAAUGUUACUCUUGUUGGUAAACAAGAAACCCUCUUUUGAUAGAUCUUUGGUGUGAAUUGUGGAAAGAUGAAGGAAGAAGGGUCUCGAGAAGUUCUAAGAUUGUUGGGAACAUCAAGAUGAUGUUAAUGCAAAUACUAGUUGAUAUUAGGGUGGGCAACUGUUUGUCGAAGGAUCCUUUAUGACUAUUCAACAGAUACUGCACCACUCAAAGCAAUUUCAGAUUAUGGGAACAGAACUAAAGAUCUUCUGCUCAUUCAGAUCACCACACCAUGCAUGUUGAGUCUGUUCAAGCUUGUCCUCUCCAAAUUGUUUCAUGCAUGAGGGCAAAUCUUUAUGACAGGCUCUUAUCCCUAUAGUGGUGUCAUGUGUAUCUUGCUCCUUUUGUGAUCGAUCAGAAGUCAAGCAACUGUCUACUGAAUAAUCAGCAAAGUGGGCUGGAGUUAGUUGUGACAUAUGCAGGACAGGAAUUUCUUCCACACCUAGAAAUGAGUUGCCAAAGCAUUCACCUGAGACUUUAGUGACCAGCUCCGAGAGUUGGACUUUGGCAACUUCCAGCCCUACAGAACCUAAGCUCUGCUUCUCAAGUCUCUCUUGGGCCUUCUCCAGCACCAACUGCAAAUACCUUCCCUGUGCCUCUAUUCGUACUUCUUUUAUUUGCAGGGGAGCUGUCAAAGAAGCAUCUGGCCAUCCAAACAAGUUCUUUAAUGUUUUGGGUUCUCAAUGGUGUGUGCCAUUUCAGACCGUUCACAGAGAGGAAUGGUGAGAUCCCGAGUAGACUUCAGGUCACAGAAUGCUGUUCCAGAUUUAAAUAAAAGAUCAUGAAUGAAUGAUUCUUUGGCAGUCAGUCAUGCAGCUAAGUGGUCAUCACAAACACCACCCGGUUUGCGUACCUUACAUGAGCCGUCAGCGGGUCCACUUUUCCCCGAAUGACAAGACGAGCAGGUAGUCGAGUGGUAACCAAACGGGCUGUUGUUAUUACAUGAGCCGUCUUCCGCCUCGCAACCCGCGGGUUCGAUCGGUGGGAUGGGAUCUUUUUCGCGAAUGCCGGAGAAGGAAGGCGUCGGGGAGGCGGCGGAAGACGAAGAUCGUGUACGACUUGGGCCCUGCGUCGAGGUCGAUUAGGGUGAACGUUGCCCAGGAUCAACUUUUAUUCCGCCGUUCCCGCUCCAUUCACCGGGAAAGACCCUAGACAAUCUCCGCAGAGCCCUGGAGAAUACCGGCUUUCUCUGCGCCGCCAUUCUCGACGCAAAGGGUCCAGGUUCCAAAUGGAUUUUCCAAAGGUGGCAAAUGUAUCCAUUUGAAGAAGUGUCAACAAAUCACCGUCGCUAUUGGUUACCGCAUUAAGGGUGACGAUACCAUGAUAGCCAUGAGCUACAGAAAGUUGGCUGAGGAUUUGGAGCCAGACUGUCACAUUAUAUGCUAUUGAGGCUAUUGCACUUGUGGUUCUUUCUGUGAGUAGUUAGGGCUGGUCAGUUGCUCCGUUAGAAUUCUGCAAUUCUUGGAGAGAGAGAAAACAUAAAUCUUCCAGGUGUUGUGAUCCUUUUGCACCAAUAGAGAAGGAAAAGGAGAAUAUCCUAGAAAAGGGACAUCCCAAACAAAAUUGGCAUGAUUGCCUUCUCCCUUAUAACCAGAGGUUCCAACUUUCUGAAGUUUGGAAAGGCUCGGAAUCAAGAAGGGGUAGCCAAUUUUGAUGCUACUCUUGUGAAUUUUUAUGGUUGCACGGAGAGAUUUGAGAAUAGAAAUUCCUUUUGAAAAGAUAUAAUAUGCUUGAAAUUUGAUGUCCCCCUUCAAGUAGAAGCAACUGUUGUAGCUAAUGCUGUUCUUGAUUGCAGUGACUGAGACGUGCUCAGUGGUGAAACAGCUGGAGGUGCUUACCUGAAACUAGCAAUUCAGAUUGCUCGGAAGAAGUCUCUUUUAUGGAUCAUGGAUCUGUUUUAAAGGAAUCAUGGCAGAACACCUGUACAUAUGAGUCCUGUUGAGAGCCUUGCAUCAUAGUUUGUCUGAAAUGCUAAUCCUACUAAGGCAUCUCUCGUCUUGGUCCUGACCAGUAGAGGAAGUUUUCUAAACUAGCAAAAUACAGGCCAGCAAUGCCAAUACUAUCUGUAGUGGUUCCUUGGUUGAUAGAUUUUUUUUCCGACUGGUACCAGUAUUGAUCUCUGCAAUUUCCAAGGCCUCAGACACUGAAUUUGUUAUACAGCAUGCAAAGGCCAAAUCCAGAUAAAAAAUUGUGACACUGCAUUGAAUUGGAGUUGCAUCUAUGAAUCAGAUUUUGACAAUCAAAUGAUUCAUUGAUGAUAGCUGAAAAAUCUCCUGUGCACAAUUUUGUUCAGUAGUAUUUAAGUUUUCUAUCAGUACACAAUUUUGUUAACUAGUAUUUGUCCCUAUUUUGAAUUUCUGGGUUUUGUUUCUCAGUAUGUUUUCUUAAGGUUAAUCUUUUAGAGACAUGUGCUUAUGCUUAGCAUUCACCUACCUGGAGGGAAUUCUUCGAGUAUUUUGUUCUGGGAGAGCUUCUAUUUUGGUCGUGUCAUAUAUUUUGCAUCAUAGCGUGAGCAUAUGAGGUCGGUACGAUGCAGCCAAAUGAUGUUUAA